rnacentral:lncRNA from 1 species
CUAACAUAGUAAUGAGACCCUCCAUGGCUCUCAUGGCCUAAUUAUCCUGAAAGGUCUUACCUGGGGGGGUGAGUGGUCCAUAUGCAGUCCCUAAGAUCAAGUGGCUUAAAGCAGUCGGAAGCCAUGCCUGCUAAGCGCAUCUUGGCCUGCAUCCACACAACCAUCGUCUGAACUUGUGAGUGAGCUGAGAAGAUAGAAGUCUCUCUGAUACCCAAGUCAGCUCAGUCAAGACCAAACUACCAAGCUGGUUAUCGGCAUGUAAUCCACGAACGGACAUCAUGGGUUUCUCUUUGUGUCUGACUUGGACCCUAUUGCUGAAGACAUGACACACCCGAGUUACAGAACACAGAGAUAUCAAGCUGUCCCUGGCCUGGAAACUUCAUCUCUUUUGCUUGGCUUUCAUACUGCAUUGUUCAUUCACUCUACCAGAGAGGGGAAAAUAAUUAUCCAGAUGGCUUCCACCUUUUUCUUUGAAGCCCCCGUCUACUUGUGGUUCCAAUGGGCAGCAGUGAAGACAUCUGGGAGCAUCCACAACUACAGGAUGGGAGCUAAGGUUCUGACCUCUGCAGCACAGCCGGACAGCUCGAGCUGACACAAAGGCUUCUACCCAUCCUGGGCCUUUCUCACAGGGAAGACCGCCACCACCACCACUACCACCACCCCUAAAAUGCUGCAAGAAACAAGGCAGUGGCCGAUCAGCUCUGUGCCUGGUCACUGAUUCAUCGAGACCAACUUGGUGGGCGAGCCCCAGGGAUCCUCCAGCCUUCACCUCUCCAGGCUGAGACUACAGGAGUAGGCCACUUGCCUGGCUUUUCACCUGGGUUCUAAAAUUUCAAACUCUUGUGAUGCAGGGAACAGAUGUAAGAAAGGGAUGGCCAGAAUGUGAGACAAGAAGAUGCAUUUCAGAGAUGCUGGGCAGGCAGAUGGCCACGAAGGCAGAUGGGAAGGGACUAUUUAUGCUUUGGAUUGGGGCAAAGGGGAGUGGCUCUGGUAAACGGGCAUUCAGCCUCACCAUUGGGAACAACCAGGAGCCAUUUCUAGAAGCAGAGGGGAAGACAGUGGAGCCAUGUGCUCUUGACUGCUGUGAAGUGUGAGGAUGCAGCCGUCUCCUGACAGGAUGGAGAGCUCUCUAUGCUAGCUCGUGAGGGGCAUCUUCUCCAGAGUCUUCAGGAGAAAACCGAGAGAGAAGGACCUGUGAGCAGUAUGGCUCCAUCUCCACUCCCCACUCCCACCCCAUUGCUUCCUGCACAGCAGUGGGUGUCACUCCAUUCCCUGCUAAGCAGGAAGCAGUCACGAGCCCCACCCUCACCAGCAGGAAUUCCUCAUUAGAAUAUCAGCCAUGGAAGCUUGGGACAUGGACUCGUUGCCCCACUCCUGAUGCAGAGGCAAUACUUUUGUUGUUCUUCAGCUAGAGUUGCCAUGACGAAACACCGGAGACUGGACGGCUCAAACGACAGAAAUCUG